CACCGCGGUUAUACGAGAGGCUCAAGUUGACAGACAACGGCGUAAAGAGUGGUUAAGGAGAACUUUAAACUAAAGCCGAACGCCCUCAGAACUGUUAUACGUUUCCGAAGGUAUGAAGUCCCACUACGAAAGUGGCUUUACUCCCCCUGACUCCACGAAAGCUGUGAAA
rnacentral:rRNA from 1 species